rnacentral:rRNA from 1 species
CGGGUACAACGAGUCGCAAGCUCGCGAGAGUAAGCUAAUCUCUUAAAGCCGUUCUCAGUUCGGACUGUAGGCUGCAACUCGCCUACACGAAGUCGGAAUCGCUAGUAAUCGCGGAUCAGCAUGCCGCGGUGAAUACGUUCCCGGGCCUUGUACACACCGCCCGUCACACCAUGGGAGUUUGUAACGCCCAAAGUCGGUGGCCUAACCUUUAUGGAGGGAGCCGCCUAAGGCGGGACAGAUGACUGGGGUGAAGUCGUAACAAGGUAAC